UACGAAGGGGGCUAGCGUUGUUCGGAAUUACUGGGCGUAAAGCGCACGUAGGCGGACUACUAAGUCAGGGGUGAAAUCCCGGGGCUCAACCCCGGAACUGCCUUUGAUACUGAUAGUCUCGAGUCCGGAAGAGGUGAGUGGAAUGCCGAGUGUAGAGGUGAAAUUCGUAGAUAUUCGGCGGAACGCCAGUGGCGAAGGCGACUCACUGGCCCGAUACUGACGCUGAGGCGCGAAAGCGUGGGGAGCAAACAGG
rnacentral:rRNA from 1 species